UACAGGGGGUGCAAACGUUGCUCGGAAUCAUUGGGCGUAAAGCGCACGUAGGCGGUCUGUUAUGUCGGAUGUGAAAGCCCUUGGCUUAACUGAGGAAGUGCAUCCGAAACUGGCAGGCUAGAGUACUAAAGAGGGUCGCGGAAUUCCCGGUGUAGAGGUGAAAUUCGUAGAUAUCGGGAGGAACACCGGUGGCGAAGGCGGCGACCUGGGUGGAUACUGACGCUGAGGUGCGAAAGCGUGGGGAGCGAACAGG
rnacentral:rRNA from 1 species